GUUUGAGUAGCUCAGUGGUAAGAGCAGUCGCCCGGCAAGCGAAAGACUCGGGUUCGGUUGCUGAUUCGACUU
rnacentral:tRNA from 1 species